rnacentral:misc_RNA from 1 species
UCGCCGAUGAACUUGAUGCCCAUCGCGAACAGGAACGCCGACGUAAUGAUGAACAGCGGACGCAGCGGGAUCUUCCGCGCAAUCAGGUUGAUGAAGUAGAACAGCACCGCAAGGCCUGCCGUCGCGGCGGCAAGGCCUGCGAAGAGUCCGGCGCUCCAGCCGCCUUCGGUCACGGCAAGCGCGUUGAUGAAAAGCACGGUUUCGGCGCCCUCACGGAACACCGCGAAGAAUGCGAGCGCUCCGACUGCCCAUGCCGUCUCCUGCGCGAGCGCAUUGUCCGCCUUGUGCGCAAGGUAAUCCUG